UUUCCAUCGUUUUAUUAAAAACUUCCAAAGGUCUAAAAUGAAAAUGUACACCAACUACAAGGGAACCAGUUUGUACACUCACAGUUAAAGUGCUAAAAAUUAAACGUUACAAAACCGACACGGGACUACUGUAAACAAAUCUACCAAGAGCCGAGUGCAAGCGGGGUCAGCCGCGGGCAGGGGCUGCCCCACACAUUCCUGGGAGCUCCCCCCACACAUUCCUGGGAGCUCCCCCCACACAUUCCUGGGAGCUCCUGCCCCUCUCCCGAGGAGCCGGGCGGUGCCACAGCAGGGACAUCGGAGUGUUAAAUGCACGGAGCCGACGGGAAAAAUGGGGAAAAAUCAGGAAAAAUCGGGAAAACGCCGCUCCUUGGGGGGGGAAAUCAAUCCUGAUCCCGUCAGAAAAGCAGCACAAGGGGACGGACGGGGGUAAAGCUUCACAUUCAAUGGACAUUCUCGAGGUGGAGUUAGGGAUGUCUCCCGUGCUCUGCUGUGAGCUGCCGGCUCCCCGCUGCUUUUUGGGAUCCCUGGAAUGUGGCACCGCUCUGGGCUGGCCUGGCUCUCAUCCCUGUGCUCCUCCUGAGGGAUUUUCCCUUCCCUUCCCUUCCCUCCUUGCUGGACUCGCUGCAGAAGCUCCGGGGAAUACCCCAGAGCCCCUCGGUGACUGCAGAAGCUCGGGGGGAAUUUAAAGCUCUGCAGCAAUCCCACAAACCCGGGCUGGAGCUCUCACCAGGUAGCAAAGCACCCCAAAAUCACUCCUGGUGCCCUGCCUGAGAUGCUGGUGGGGCCACAUUCCCACUGGGAUGCGCUUCAGAGCCCCUGCACACCGUGAUUUGGGAGCUCUCCACAUUCUUCCAUGGGUGAGGGAGGAAUUCCUCUCUGCCCGUGGAGAGGACAGCGUGCUGCUGGCUCAGCUGUUGAAGGUAGAAGGGAGAGGGCAGGGAGGUAAAAAUCCCGGCCAGAACCCCAGUUUGAGUUUAAUCACCUCUCUGGGGUGACAGGAGCCUGUCCCUUUAGGAUCAGCAAGAAACCACUCAGAUAUUCCCAUCCUGAGCCUCACAAAUUAACGUUUCCAGCAGGAUCCUUCUCCAAGCUCCAGCAGCGCUCCUCUCCCUGUCUCUAAACAAGUCAAAGCAGUGCUACAAUUUAUUAAAAAAAAAAAAUACUGGAAACUGAGCCAAGAGGAUCAAUGUAAACCCUUGAGCUUAUUUCGUUUGGUUUCAGUGUUAAGGAAAACUCAGCUUAUCCAGAUUUCUACCAGAUCACCCCUUUGAGGCAGCACACGAGUCAGGAGGAGAUGAAUUUGGAAACAGCAAAGGUUCCACCCUUGAGGCUUCCAGGGAGCUGCAGCUUCUCCAGUUU
rnacentral:lncRNA from 1 species